UACAGAGGUGGCAAGCGUUGUUCGGAAUUACUGGGCGUAAAGGGCGCGUAGGCGGCCCGUCAAGUCCCGUGUGAAAGCCCCCGGCUCAACCGGGGAACGGCGCGGGAAACUAGCAGGCUUGAGUUCGGGAGAGGGAAGCGGAAUUUCGGGUGUAUCGGUGAAAUGCGCAGAUAUCCGAAUGAACACCGGUGGCGAAGGCGGCUUCCUGGCCCGGCACUGACGCUGAGGCGCGAAAGCUAGGGGAGCAAACGGG
rnacentral:rRNA from 1 species